rnacentral:rRNA from 1 species
ACGGGGGGAGCAAGCGUUGUUCGGAAUCACUGGGCGUAAAGGGCGCGUAGGCGGCUCGGUAAGCGUGCGGUGAAAGCCUGGGGCUCAACCCCGGGUCGGCCGUGCGAACUGUCGAGCUCGAGCACUGUAGAGGCAGGCGGAAUUCCGGGUGUAGCGGUGGAAUGCGUAGAGAUCCGGAAGAACACCGGUGGCGAAGGCGGCCUGCUGGGC